rnacentral:rRNA from 1 species
GUGAGGAAUAUUGGUCAAUGGAGGCAACUCUGAACCAGCCAUGCCGCGUGCAGGAAGACGGUCCUAUGGAUUGUAAACUGCUUUUAUUUAGGAAUAAACCCCCGGUCGUGCACCGGGGCUGAAUGUACUAAAAGAAUAAGCACCGGCUAACUCCGUGCCAGCAGCCGCGGUAAUACGGAGGGUGCAAGCGUUAUCCGGAAUCAUUGGGUUUAAAGGGUCCGCAGGCGGGUAAAUAAGUCAGAGGUGAAAUCCGGCAGCUCAACUGUCGCACUGCCUUUGAUACUGUUUAUCUUGAAUUUUAGUGGAGUGGGCGGAAUAUGUCAUGUAGCGGUGAAAUGCUUAGAUAUGACGUGGAACACCGAUAGCGAAGGCAGCUCACUAACUAUGAAUUGACGCUCAUGGACGAAAGCGUGGGUAGCAAACAGGAUUAGAAACCCCGGUAGUCC